rnacentral:rRNA from 1 species
GACGAACGCUGGCGGCGUGCUUAACACAUGCAAGUCGAACGGAAAGGCCCCCUUGUGGGGUACUCGAGUGGCGAACGGGUGAGUAACACGUGAGUAACCUACCCUUGACUUUGGGAUAACUUCAGGAAACUGGUGCUAAUACCGGAUAGGAGCUCCUGCUGCAUGGUGGGGGUUGGAAAGUUUCGGCGGUUGGGGAUGGACUCGCGGCUUAUCAGCUUGUUGGUGGGGUAGUGGCUCACCAAGGCUUUGACGGGUAGCCGGCCUGAGAGGGUGACCGGCCACAUUGGGACUGAGAUACGGCCCAGACUCCUACGGGAGGCAGCAGUGGGGAAUAUUGCACAAUGGGCGGAAGCCUGAUGCAGCAACGCCGCGUGCGGGAUGACGGCCUUCGGGUUGUAAACCGCUUUCGCCUGUGACGAAGCGUGAGUGACGGUAAUGGGUAAAGAAGCACCGGCUAACUACGUG